UUGGGGUGUCGCCAAGUGGUAAGGCUGCGGACUUUGACUCCGCCAUGCGUAGGUUCAAAUCCUGCCACCCCAGU
rnacentral:tRNA from 1 species